UACGGAGGGUGCAAGCGUUAUCCGGAUUCACUGGGUUUAAAGGGUGCGUAGGAGGGCAGGUAAGUCAGUGGUGAAAUCUCCGAGCUUAACUUGGAACUGCCGUUGAUACUAUCUGUCUUGAAUAUUGUGGGGGUGAGCGGAAUAUGUCAUGUAGCGGUGAAAUGCUUAGAUAUGACAUAGAACACCAAUUGCGAAGGCAGCUCGCUACGCAUAUAUUGACUCUGAGGCACGAAAGCGUGGGGAUCAAACAGG
rnacentral:rRNA from 1 species